CCAGGGGAAGUCUCACCUCCCCUAAAACCUCCAAAGGUCUCCAAAAUUCUCUGGGAGGCAGACAUCCCAGCCUCAUGGGGACUCCUUUAUAGUUUGCAUCUAGUUGUCCCGUUCAUGGUGGCUUUUACUAACCCAAUAAGUGUUUCGCAAAGUAUCCUGGUAUCGGAAUAUUAAGUUUGACGUAUCUCUGACACGUCAUGCAUUAGGAUGACUGACACUGAAGUAUCGCGACGUCGUACGCCGAUUGGCUGCUGGGACACAAGCCCGAUCACUACCGAACGUCAAGGACCGUAACCGGCUCAGUGAGGGAAGGACCAAAGAGCAGCUAUAGAUCGUGGUCACUGAAAUAGCGGAGGGGGAUGGUACUGCGGUGUGAUGCACCGUGACUCUGCGUGUGUCGGAACUUCUUUCUCAGUCAAAAGUCGCGUCGCGUGGCGUCGCAUCGCAUCGCAUCGCAUCGCUGAGUUUCGAAAACUGGCGAGGUGUGCCCAGUUGAUGACGUUAAUAAAGGAAAAGGACAAAAAAGAGGUACUUGUAUCGCCAGUGGAAGGUAUCACGGUGGGGCAGGGUCGGAUUCUAAAGUCACUGAGAGAAGAACAAAAGAGUGUGUGUGUGUGUGUGUGUGUGUGUGAGAGAGAGAGUUUUGCUUUGUUUUUUCAUACACCGCAGUGCGGAGACAAAACACGAAGUUCACAGAGGGAGGGAGACGACAACGUCUCCUUCCUCGGUUUGAACUCUUCCAUCUGUUGACCCUGUUUGUUUCCCGAUCCUUGAGCUGCACCUCACACACAGUGACACACGCAAAAAAGCCACGUAAGUGAAACGAUACAAAGGUAAAUGAGUAGGACACGCGGAAUCCGGACACACACACUUGACCCCUUCUUGUCUAGUAUUUCCCAGAAGAUCUUCUUGAGCUUCACGGCCGUGUCCCCCCACAUCUUCUCACGUUGACCUGAGACCUUCUUCGGCGCUCCGAAACGGCACAUUUCACACAUGAUCACACGUUCUCUUCUCCUUCUCCAUUCCACAUCUUCCAAUGUACCGCAGUAAAUUGCCCAAGAGCUGAAACAGCUGAAAUGAGUCGGUGGUAGAAGGCCGAGGACUUGUCUACACUUAAUUAUUAAUAUACUGUGAUUUACCUCACAGUACUUCACGGCACUGACAUCGCUUCUCUCAGACACAACACUCUUCUGUAUGAAAUGUGAGUGAAGAACACAAUUUUUGGCUGAUGUAAAAUGUAACAAUCGUGCACAGAAAGGAGUGUCGUAACAACUUACCGGAGGGCCAAGAUAAGAGGAAAAGUACAUAAACAUGAUGGGCAAAAAUACAUAAACCAUCCAUGUGCGCGCGAUGAACGCAACUCAGUUGGUCCACUUUAAAAAGUUGUCGUUCAUUUUUAUAUUUCUUCUUUGAAUUUGUGUGGAUUUUAUCUGUAUAGUAUUUUAUUCACACAUGAUUUUAGUAGUCUUGUUUUAUUAGGUUUGUGCACUUUUAACUGUUUUUUAUAUCGAUCACUCACUUAUUAUGUGUGUAUGUCUGCUUUUUUUUAGUCUGAUUUUACGUUUUAGGGGGUAUGAUGGUAAAGUUUUAUACUGUAAUUUAGCAGUAGUUUAUGUGUUUUGGAAGAUGCAUGUAUAUGAUACGAUGACUCGGGUUAAGCUGCUAUUGGGGGACAGUCCUUGCGUGGGUAUGUUGGUGUGGGGAAGACGUGGGUCACUUAUAUAUUUUGAAGCCAGGAGGGGGGAUUGUUAUGGGAAAGACUUUGUCACUGUCUUCACAAUGUAUUUUAUGUAAUGGCUUUUUAGUAAGCCUUGUUGACCAGCUGUAGGAAAUGUAGUUUUAAAUGUGUCUGGUUGCAAAUUUGUUGAGAACUUUUUUUUAAAUUGUGUAGGUCGUGUAUUUUAUUUAAUAAUAACUUUCUUUAAUAGAGUUUUUUUUUUUUUUUUUUUUUUUUUUUUUUUUUUAAGUUGCCGUUCACUCCUUUUACCGCAAGAUGGCAGUAAAGAAUCUCUCACACACACUCACACACACACACACACACACACACACACACACACACACACACACACACACACACACUUUCAGAACCGCUUGUCCCAUACAGGGUCACGGGGAACCGGAGCCUACCCGGCAACACAGGGCGUAAGGCCGGAGGGGGAAGGGACACACCCAGGACGGGACGCCAGUCCGUCGCAAGGCACCCCAAGCGGGACUCGAACCCCAGACCCACCGGAGAGCAGGACUGCAGUUUAACCCAGGCAGUAAAGAAUCGCUUUAUAAAAUACUGGCUCGAGAAACAAAAUAUUAACAUGAAACUUAAUUCUAGGCUCAUAACUCGGAAAAGGACUAGUUUGGUUAGCUGUACACAGUUGUACACACUACAUAUCCCCAUGAUGACCACCACCACUACUGCUACAACCACUGCUACUACGACUGAUGACCCCAAUUUGCCAUCCGGGGCUUAAACUGAGUGACUUUUGGGUUUCACUGCUGACCAGUUGCUGCUACGAGAUUAGAACCUGAGCUGCAGGACCUCACACCCGUUACGAAGAACUGCAGCAGUGAGUGAGGAGAAAUACCGAAAUGUAUAUUAGGAGUGAAAUAAUGCAGAUAAAUACGAAACCAAUAAUUCGCAUACAAUAAUGAUUGGCGGUGUGUGUGGGGGGUCCGGGAUUCAGGCAGUUCAUCGCAAGGCAGGACUCGAACCCCGGACCCGCCCCGCGGCAGGCACCGCCCAACCCGCUGCGCCACCGCACCCCCGCUUUUAAAAGCAUCAUAAUAUCUAAGACUUGCAUAGAAAAUUCCCAGCAAUUUACUCUCCUGCUUUUCUUGAUUGUGUAGCUAAUAAAGCAAACUGAAAGCGGCCA
ensembl:lncRNA